GCUUUAUUUUAUUGUAGGUUUUGAGGAUUUUUGAAUAAAUGGCGGAUUAGAAAAAAUGGGCGAAGAGAAAAAGGGCGAGAAAAAACGGGCGUUUUCUCGCCCUUUUUUUUCUUCGUCCAUUUUUCUAACUCGCCAUUCAAAAAUCCUCAAAACCUACAAUAAAAUAAAGCG